UCCGCUUCCUGGAGGCCAUCGCCGCGCACCGCCGCGCCCACGGCGGCGACUUCCCAACAGCCGUCGAGCUCCUCGCGGCGCUCGACGGCCGCCUCGAAAUGAAGGGCGUCGGCUGAUGUAAACAAGAAGCAGCGCAGCCUCAUGCGCCGCUACCAUCGCCACGCCAAGAAGGCCGAACCACCGGUAGAUGAACACGAGCGUCACAUUUAUUUCCUCUCCAGGGACGUGUGGGCCGACGACUCCCCGCCCAAACCACCGGUCGCUCAGGCAAAAAGCAUCAGGGGAGGCUCCCCGCUGAAACCACGGACCACCGAAGCCACCAAGGACAGCAAGGAUGCCACCCAGGCGAAGAGCGCCGGCGAGCCAGCCAAGGACGAGUCCAAGCCCAGGACUUUGGCAGAGAUGCGUGAGCAGUACCCGUACCUUGUUGAUGAGUCUAUGGUCCUCGUGGAUCCGCCGAUCCUCCAGAAACUCCUCCCCAGCAUCGAAGACAACAAGGCCCAGGCACUGAACAAGAAGAUCAUGAAGGCGAGGAAGCAGCUCGUCAAGGCCAUCACGGAAUCGGCAAGGAUAAAAAACAUGGAAACACCCACAAUAUUUCUAUAUCAAUCCACUAAGCUUCAAUCGGAAAAGCCAAGGUUGGAGAAAAAGGAUGGUGAGGAUAUUUGUGCUCAAGGACGACUGGAACGAGUGGAGCAUGAAUUAGCGGAAAUGAGACAACUUUUCAUUGCUUCUCAAAAUAAUGCUAUAAGAUGUGAAAAUGCAGAAAGUGGCCUUCAGUCAGUUGUAGCUGAAAAUCAGAUUUCGUGCAAUAUGAUACAAAAGAAGAUAAAGGUACCAAAUGGCUUGCCUCAUGGAAAGAAUAAGGAGGUUACAUCUAAAUAUAAAUAUGAUGGUGUCCUUCCCAGCAAUGUCCCGUGCGACAAUCUGGGUGGCAAAGAGGUUGUGUUGAUUUCUCUAGAACGACCGCGUACUCCAGUAGGCAAAGCUAUUCUUGAACACAGUUCUCCAUCUACAAUAGUAGGGGGCAUUGCACUUGGAACACAGUGUUGUAAGGUGUUUCUAAGAGAGGUAUUGCAAAGGGAUGCUCCACUGUUUCACAAAUAUGGGGAGAUGAUGAAGAUGUCUGAUGCACUUUAUUCUUCUAUUCCAUGGCCAAGUGUCCUAGUAAUAUCUUUAAUCCAUCAUUCUAAUUAUUCUAGGUUAUUUUUAUUGCCAUAGAACUAAAGAAGUAAAAAUGUUUUCUUUGCAGGUCAAAGGUAAUGCCAUUGCUAGCACGGCACCACUUUACCAACUGUCUCAUCAACAUAUUAUUAAUUGCCUUCUGCUAUGCGAAACUUGUUUUCUUCAAAAAUACCAUGUGAAUUUUCCUAGUAUUUUUCUCAGUUUUUGGUGUUUUAUUGUUGACCACCUAUAUAGAUCUGUUGAAUGAUAAACCUUUUGAGAAAUUUCCAAAACUGCGAACAUUCUCUACUUUACAUUGACUAUUCUUUUUAUAAGAUGCAGUUCUCAAGGCUUUUAAAAACAUAUUCCAAAUUUUGGUUGUUUCCAAAUUUUUCAACACAAAAAAUCCAAAUCAUUAAUUUGGAGAUGCAUCUGAGCAGUCUUGUAAAAACAGAUGCUAAUUAAGUUGUAUGGAAAAGCUUGUGAGAUUAUCUUCUACAUUUAGGAAAUUGAAAUUUUGAUUUCUGAAAAUUUACAUGGAACAAUGAUUUGCUUGAUGUUUUGAGUGACAAUGGCUUCAACGUGGAAUGUGUAUGCUACCACAGAAUUGUUUUCUAUGGCCAGCUAUGUACUGGCCACUUAUAAAUAGGUUCAUCCCAUAGGGAUGCUUACUGAGCAUGCUGAUCUUCUGGUUGCAUGCAUGCUAGCACUCACUGUGUGCCACAUUUUUGGAGGUGUGUGCUCAAUAUUGUGAGAAGCAUGCAAUAGUAUCAUUACAUUCUAUAUGUAUCUGACCUAGUUUUUUGAUAUAAAUUGAAGUCAGUUGCUAUCUUAUAAGCGCAACAGCUAAUUAAUUCAUUUUUAUUGUGUCAUACAGGUCAUUGACAAAGCGCCUCGAGAUGGUGAAGCGUCGUUUUGCAGAUAACAUCGAUGUUGGGUAGUAAUAUAUAUUAUGCUUUUUAUCUUCAAACAGGGCAAGUACUUUUGGUAUGAAUGUUCUAAUGGAAAAAUAUCUUGAUUGGGCUGGGUGUAUUGUUUAUCUGCUGGUUCUGUUCAUAUGGAUGAAAAUGUGUGGUGUUUUUUUU